UUAUUUUUAAUAAAUGAUACAAUUUUCUCUCCUCUCCUCUUCUCCUUUCCUCUCCUUCCCUUUUUCCUCUCCUCUCCUCUUAUUUUAAAUUUCUUUUUUUCAUUCCCUUUUUCCUUCCCUCCCCUUUUCCUCCUCAUUCCCUCUCCUUUCCCUUUUCCCUCCUCUCCUCUCCCUUCUCCUCCCCUUCUCUCCUUUCAUCUCCUUUCUCUUCUCUUCUCUUCUCCUUUCCCCUCCUUCCCUUUUCCUUUCCCUUUUCCCUUCCUUUUUCCUUUCCCUUUUCCUUUCCCUUUUCCCUUCCCUUUUUUCCUUCCUUUUCCCUUCCCUUUCCCUUCCCUUUUCCCUUCCCUUUUUCCUCUACUCUCCUCUCAUUUUAAAUUUCUCUUUUUCAUUCCCUUUUUCCUUCCCUCUCUGUUUCCUCCUCAUUCCCUCUCCUCUCCCUUUUCCCUCCUCUCCUUCUCCUCCCCUUCUCUCCUUUCAUUUCCUCUCUUCUCUUCUCUUCUCUUCUCUUCUCUUCUCUCUUCUCUUCUCCUUUCCCCUCCUUCCCUUUUUUCCCUUCCCUUUUCCCUUUCCUUUUUCCUUCCCUUUUUCCUCUCCUCUCCUCUCCUCCCCUCAUUUUAAAUUUCCCUUUUUCAUUCCAUUUUUCCUUCCCUCCCCUUUUCCUCCUCUUCCCUUCCCUUUUCCCUUUCCUUUUUCCUUCCCUUUUUCCUCUCCUCUCCUCUCCUCCCCUCAUUUUAAAUUUCCCUUUUUCAUUCCAUUUUUCCUUCCCUCCCCUUUUCCUCCUCAUUCCCUCUCCUUUCCCGUUUCCCUCCUCUCCUCUUCUUUAUACUCCCCUUCUCUCCUUUCCUUUUUUUCUUUCUUUCUUUUCUUUCUUUCUUUCUUUCUUUCUCGCUUUGCUUCGCUUUGCUUUUUUCCUUUCUUUUCCUUUUCUUUUUCUUCCUUUUUCUUCUACUGGCUCCACCGUUGAAGGCAGAACUCUCUUAUUCUCUUCCACGUCUCACUAGAAAUUGGAGAGUCUCAAGUUGUGAUUGAGUAAUUUUCACCUCAAACAGACUUUGAGAGGAAAA
rnacentral:lncRNA from 1 species